rnacentral:rRNA from 1 species
AUUGAACGCUGGCGGCAGGCCUAACACAUGCAAGUCGAACGGUAGCACAGAGAGCUUACUCUUGGGUGACGAGUGGCGGACGGGUGAGUAAUGUCUGGGAAACUGCCCGAUGGAGGGGGAUAACUACUGGAAACGGUAGCUAAUACCGCAUAACGUCUUCGGACCAAAGUGGGGGACCUUCGGGCCUCACACCAUCGGAUGUGCCCAGAUGGGAUUAGCUAGUAGGUGGGGUAAUGGCUCACCUAGGCGACGAUCCCUAGCUGGUCUGAGAGGAUGACCAGCCACACUGGAACUGAGACACGGUCCAGACUCCUACGGGAGGCAGCAGUGGGGAAUAUUGCACAAUGGGCGCAAGCCUGAUGCAGCCAUGCCGCGUGUAUGAAGAAGGCCUUCGGGUUGUAAAGUACUUUCAGCGGGGAGGAAGGCGGUAAGGUUAAUAACCUUGCCGAUUGACGUUACCCGCAGAAGAAGCACCGGCUAACUCCGUGCCAGCCGCCGCAGUAAUAC